GAUGAAGAACGCAGCGAAAUGCGAUAAGUAAUGUGAAUUGCAGAAUUCAGUGAAUCAUCGAAUCUUUGAACGCACAUUGCGCCCGCCAGUAUUCUGGCGGGCAUGCCUGUUCGAGCGUCAUUUCAACCAUCAAGCCCCCGGCUUGUGUUGGGGACCUGCGGCUGCCGCAGGCCCUGAAAACCAGUGGCGGGCUCGCUAGUCACUCCGAGCGUAGUAAUACAUCUCGCUCAGGGCGUGCUGCGGGUUCCGGCCGUUAAAAAGCCUUAUUUACCCAAGGUUGACCUCGGAUCAGGUAGGAAAACCCGCUGAACUUAAGCAUAUCAAUAAGCGGAGGA
rnacentral:misc_RNA from 1 species